AAUGGGCGAAAGCCUGACGGAGCGACACCGCGUGCAGGAUGAAGGCCCUCGGGUUGUAAACUGCUGUCACGCCAUAGGAAUUCCCUGUCAUAAUAGUGCCAGGGUUGACCAAAGCGAAAGGAAGCACCGGCUAACUCCGUGCCAGCAGCCGCGGUAAGACGGAGGGUGCAAACGUUGUUCGGAAUCACUGGGCAUAAAGCGCACGUAGGCGGUCCACUAAGUCGAGUGUGAAAGCCCCCGGCUCAACCGGGGAAUUGCAUUCGAUACUGGUGGACUUGAGGACGGUUGGGGUGAGUGGAACUCCUGGUGGAGCGGUGAAAUGCGUAGAUAUCAGGAGGAACACCAGUGGCGAAAGCGGCUCACUGGACCGUAUCUGACGCUGAGGUGCGAAAGCUAGGGUAGCGAACGGGAUU
rnacentral:rRNA from 1 species